rnacentral:rRNA from 1 species
AUUGAACGCUGGCGGCAGGCCUAACACAUGCAAGUCGAGCGGAUGACGGGAGCUUGCUUCUUGAUUCAGCGGCGGACGGGUGAGUAAUGCCUAGGAAUCUGCCUGGUAGUGGGGGACAACGUUUCGACAGGAACGCUAAUACCGCAUACGUCCUACGGGAGAAAGCAGGGGACCUUCGGGCCUCGCGCUAUCAGAGGAGCCUAGGUCGGAUUAGCUAGUUGGUGAGGUAAUGGCUCACCAAGGCGACGAUCCGUAACUGGUCUGAGAGGAUGAUCAGUCACACUGGAACUGAGACACGGUCCAGACUCCUACGGGAGGCAGCAGUGGGGAAUAUUGGACAAUGGGCGAAAGCCUGAUCCAGCCAUGCCGCGUGUGUGAAGAAGGUCUUCGGAUUGUAAAGCACUUUAAGUUGGGAGGAAGGGCAGUAAGUUAAUACCUUGCUGUUUUGACGUUACCGACAGAAUAAGCACCGGCUAACUCUGUGCCAGCAGCCGCGGUAA